CAAUAUUCCUUGUUAAUUUAACAUAAAGGAAAAAGGAAAUGGUUCAAAUCUGAUCCCUUUUCAAUUAUGGUUAGCUAUAAAGAAAUUAUACACUCUAAUAGUGUGAAGUAUGAACAUUAUUGAUUUUCAUCAUCGGGAUGCUUGGAACUUGAUUUAUUUUAUCUAGACCUUUGUUCAGAACUUUAUAAGUAAAUUACUUGUAGAACUUUCAGGAAUAUGAAGGAUAACAACAAACUGCUAACUGAUUUUUGUGCAGGU
rnacentral:misc_RNA from 1 species